UCUGGUGGCCUAGAGGUUAGAGCGUCCGCCUCGAAAACGGGAGGUCGCAGGUUUGAACCCCAGCCGAGUCAU